CCUCUUCAGUCUUCACUGCUUCCCUCAAUUUUUUUUAGGGUUUUUCCAUUUCCUCCUCACCCUUUCGGUGCCUCCUCUUCUGAUAUUCCCUUCCCACAAUUUCUUUUUCUUCGUUCUUCGUUCUUCGUUUCUUUCGUUGCUUCUCCUUCCUCCUUUGUCUUCCACUUCUGAUCUUCACAUCCAACUCCAUGUUUUGGAGAUCUGAACUGAAAGAGAAGCAAAAGGGGGAACAGAUGUGGAGUGUUUUUCAUGGAUAUAUGAUUUUUUUAAUUAUUCUGAUCUGAUCUACGAGUACUCUUCACGGGCUAGAUGUUGCUACCAGAGUUGACGGCUAGGGUUUUUGAUAAAUCUGAUACUACAGGUUUUUUGAUGAAUCUUCUACUGCGGGUAGGCUUCUUGAUGAAAAUCUCAAAGGGUUUAAUUGAGGGUCUGGAAUCGAAGGAUUUGAUUAAGGUUUGUGAAAAUUCAUGAAUCGAUGACCGAUCUCUGCAUUCGCGAAUUUCUUCGAUUCUUUUUUUAUAAUUCACAGUGAUGUUGGCGAAAUAAAAAUGGGAUCGUUGAAAAGAGAGGAAGAAAUUGGAGUGAUCGAAACAAAAGAACCAAAUGAAGCUAUAAUUUACAUCAAUGGUGUUUGGAAAGUAAUUCCUGAUGGUUUAGCUCACUUGAUUCUCCUUGAGUAUCUUCAAGGUACUUUGAUUAUUAUUAUUACUCCUUAAUUUCCAUUUUUAAUUUGUAAUUUUACUUGUUUUUUAUUUUACUGGGUUGAAAAUAUUGUUCAUAAUUUGUAUGGAUUUCUGUAGUUUGUGAAAUUCGUGAUCUUUAAGGAAUUAUAUAUUUAGUUGCUAUUAUCAUUAUUAUUAUCCCUAAUUUCCAUUUUAAUUUGUUAUUUAAAUUGUUAUUGAAUUCGCUGGGUCGAAAAAGUUAUUCGUAAUUCGUAUUGAUUUAUGUAGUUUGUGAAGUUCAUGAUCUUAAGGAACUAUGUAUUUGUUACUGUGAUUCAUUAAUGAGGAUUGAUGUUUGGCUUUGCUGGGGAAAUCAUUGACUUGUAUGCUUGUUAGGGUUUGACACUUUAGUUUUAGUGGGGGACUCUUGAUCAAUUAUAGUCCCCGAGUCCAUCAAAUUCGAAAUAACUGUAGGUUUAUUGAUGGAAUUUGCGGAAAUAAGUGUUGAUUCCUCUUUUAAUGGUUUAUCUUGAGUUGGAGUAGAGUGGGUAUGGGAGGAUGAUUAAUAAAAAAUAAAUAAAUUUCCUUUGUUGUCAUUCAUGCAAAUUUGGACAUUUAAGGAAAUUAUGUACAAGUAGCAUUUUUGGCACGGAGGCAACAAGAAUUUGUUGCAAUUGUCUCGUUUCAAUUCUUUUCGAUUAGUAACUUGAAUUUACUCGGAUUCACAUUGGGUAGUAGGAAUUUCUCCUACAUAAUCCAACCACUACCUGAAUUCAUGAAUGUUCCAACGCCAAAAUCCGAAAUACUAAUGCCCGGUAAAAGAAGAUAUUGACAUGGCUUAGCACAUAACAUGCUUUGCAAAUCAAUGAAGUAUUUUGUAGGAAUAUGACAACAUAUACAUUUACACCGCUGAGUUUGUUUUCCAUCCAUACAUUCUUUUGUUUCACGCUUGUCUCAGUGAAGAAAACACUGCAAAGUAUGGGUAAUUGCAAGUGUUCCCAAUAUUUUGUCAUGUAUAGUUUGAUGCAUUGGGAAAAUGCCUCUAACAUCAAGCGAUCAAGAUAAGACAGAGUGACUGAGCGAGUAACCGGUUUUUCUUAUCUCCUAUGGAAAUGGAAGGGGGAAGACAAGCAGGGAAAGAGGUCGUGGAAGGGGGAGGGGAACUGGAAAAGUAGGGGAAGGGAGGAGAAAAGAGCAGGGAACCUUGGGGAAUAGGGAAAAACAAAAUAAAGGGGAAUUUGGCCGAAUGAUCCUCUUUAUUCUUUUCAUACCUUGAAAUGCCCUACCAAUUUGGUGAAUUCAGCAUUUAUGUUAUAACAAUUUGGAAAUUUGGCUGUCUUUGAAUAUGGAUUUAACAAUAUUUUAUGUUGCUAUUUUAUUUGUUUCUGUAAAGCCACGUCAUGGUCCUUGCUGCUCCUUAUUCAUGCUUUUGGAUGAAGAUAUUGAUCUAACUGUAACAAAAUUAGGCUUGUGGUGAAGGAGGUUGUGGUGCUUGCACAAUUAUGGUCUCCGGCUUUGAUCAUCAACACAAGAAAUGUGUAUUCGGAGGUUAUAUUGUCUGCAAUUGAACUUAGAGGUUAUAUCAUGAUGGUGUAGAGAUCUUGGUGAUGUUGUAAGCAUGCAGUCAACUGAAAACACUCCUUUACAAUGUCUUGAACACUUUCGUCCUGGUUAAGGGAAUGGGGAUGGGGCUUUCGAGUGGUGAGGCGAUGCUGGUGUCGAUUAGUGGGAGGUCGAAAUCAGUGGUGUUUAUGUAGGAGGAUGAGCCUAAAAAGUGGGUUGCUUAGGUGGAUCCUGGUGUUCUUAUUACUUUUGUUUCCAUGCCCCAAGGAGGUAAUGAUCUCAAGCGCAUUCGUUUCAGGAUGAGAAUAUUCUAACUGUUUGAUGUUCCCAACAUUGGCACAUUCUUCUACUUCUUAGAGAUCAAAAGGCUCAUGAAUCUGUAUUAAAAGUUCUCAAACUCUAUAGCUUUGCGAAGAAGUCUGUACUAGAUGAAUGGAUCGGAGAGCUCAACUCUGGGGCUUGUUGUACGAGCCUGUGAGGAAAGCGAUGGUGGAAAGUAGACCAGACAUUCAGAUUCUUAUCUCUAUGUGAGGUGCUCAAGGUAACUGAGAAAUAUAUUACUUUAUUGCAUCUACCUUUUGGGUUGGAUUUUGGGUUAUAUUUACUCUAUUUACAUGCAUGUUGGCGAUAAAUUUUGAAUUAGUGGAAAUUCUGCGUACUUUAGAAUUAUUGUGUUUUGGAGUUGUGAUGGAGUGUCCAGAAUGUAAGCUACUUUAGAUUAGAUCUAAUUAGAAAUUCCUUACUCUAAAGUUUGUCAAAAACCAUCCAAGGAAGAACCAGUGGUGAAAACUGAAAAGAAGGGAAGCAUGGACUUUGGUUUUGUUUUGAGCUGGUUUAACCCCCCUUAGUAGGUAUUGAAACAUUGCUCUUUGCAAACAACUUCAUUUUAUUAUGUUAAUUUCAGUUCUGCUAAUUUUCAAAACAAUCAUGGUCGUGAAGAUAUUUCGUACUAAGCAUUUCUGGGCAGAGGUAAGACGGAGAACAACCCUCUCCAAAAGCAAUGUGCUCUAGUGGUAUCUUAAACAAGUGGCAUUAGAAGCGGUGGAGUUAGAGGGUAAUGUCGAGGAGACUUUGGAGGUUGUGGCCGAAGAGUAAACACUUUCAGAAAUGCCUCCCUUUUAUAUGCGUGCAAGCUCUGUUAAAAUCAAUAUUAUGUAUUUGUGAAAGCUAAGUAGUACCGAAACCAUCUACGCCCUUUACAAGCAACCAUUGUUUAUGUUGCAUGGCUUUAGUAUUUAACUACUUUAUGUGCUUGGUUUUUCUUAGAAGAACAUGGAACACGAUUUUAUGUUCCUAGGAUAUAGCGUGCCAUUGCACCUUUUGGAUCACUUAUGAUCGACUUGUGUAUUAAGGAUUUCUAUAUAUGUAAUCUAUAUCAAGUAAUAAGCCAUGGAGUACUGUAUUUAUGCUUUCAA